rnacentral:rRNA from 1 species
GAUGAACGCUGGCGGCGCGCCUAACACAUGCAAGUCGAACGAUUAAAGCACCUUCGGGUGUGUAUAAAGUGGCGAACGGCUGAGUAACACGUGGGCAACCUGCCCCUUUCAUUGGGAUAGCCACGGGAAACCGUGGAGAAUACCGAAUACUUCGAGACUUCCGCAUGGAAGACUCGAGAAAGCUCCGGCGGAGAGGGAUGGGCCCGCGGCCUGUUAGCUUGUUGGUGGGGUAACGGCCUACCAAGGCAAAGAUGGGUAGCUGGGGUGAGAGCCCGACCAGCCAGCUUGCGACUGAGACACGCCCCAGACUCCUACGGGACGCAGCAGUGGGGAAUCUUGCACAAUGGCCGAAAGCCUGAUGCAGCGACGCCCCGUGCGUGAUGAAGGCCUUCGGGUUGUAAACCGCUUUCAGCAGGGACGAGGCGAAAGUGACGGUACCUGCAGAAGAAGCCCCGGCUAACUACGUG